rnacentral:misc_RNA from 1 species
GAUGAAGAACGUAGCGAAAUGCGAUAAAUAAUGUGAAUUGCAGAAUUCAGUGAAUCAUCGAGUCUUUGAACGCACAUUGCGCCCCCCGGUAUUCCGGGGGGCAUGCCUGUCCGAGCGUCAUUGCUGCCCUCAAGCACGGCUUGUGUGUUGGGCCCCCGUCCCCCCCUCCCGGGGGACGGGCCCGAAAGGCAGCGGCGGCACCGCGUCCGGUCCUCGAGCGUAUGGGGCUUUGUCACCCGCUCUGUAGGCCCGGCCGGCGCCUGCCGACCACCAUCAAUCUUUUUUCAGGUUGACCUCGGAUCAGGUAGGGAUACCCGCUGAACUUAAGCAUAUCAAUAAGCGGAGGA